UACACCUUUUCUUCUAUAAAAGAGUAUUGUGCAUCAUCACAGCGAACAAUAUUUUGACCAGUUGAUUUUCCUCGGUAGACUAUACUCAUAAAGAGUAUAGUUUGGUCAGGGAGAGAGCUAGUAUUUUAAUGUAUGUGUAUUUUGUAUGAACAGCAGUUCAAGCAGUUUGCUUGUCCGUGUUCUUGAAAUGUGAACAGUAAAUGUUGCCUCAGCAUAAUGGACGGGUAGACUAGCAACACCAAGCGCAAGACAAACUGUACAUUUUAAGACAUAUUGCACUAAGCUUAUGCCGCACAUGCAUUGGCAGAGAAUCAAUACCGCAUUUCAACCUAAAAGCCUACACGGACAGUCGGACAGUAAUUAGUAAUUACAAAUACAAUCAGGUAGAUCAGUAAUUACUACAAUCUAUUAUUAGUGUGGUUUCAAAGCAAGCCACACUUGGGUCACUGAAACAGCUACCACAAUAGAUGGUCCACAUUCCAUCACCAAAGGUAGGGAGACAGCAUUGCACUAUAUACACAAAUGUAUAUACAUACCAUAUUCCCACGCCCAAAGAAACAAUGUUCAACUUUCCUUUCACGGAUGCUAUUGUACAAUUGGGAUUAUUUGAAUGUAGCUCAACUUUCAGUAUGUUAUUCAUAU